UUUAAAAAUUUCAUGAAUUUGUAAAAUUGGAAUGAUACAAAAAAGAUUACCAUGACCCCUGUGCAAGGGUGACACGCACAAAUCAAGAAAUCUUGUAUGAAGUC